rnacentral:misc_RNA from 1 species
GAUGAAGAACUUAGCGAAACGCGAUAUUUCUUGUGAAUUGCAGAAGUGAAUCAUCAGUUUUUGAACGCACAUUGCACUUUGGGGUAUCCCCCAAAGUAUACUUGUUUGAGCGUUGUUUCUCUCUUGGAAUUGCUUUGCUCUUCUAAAAUUUCGAAUCAAAUUCGUUUGAAAAACAACACUAUUCAACCUCAGAUCAAGUAGGAUUACCCGCUGAACUUAAGCAUAUCAAUAAGCGGAGGA